rnacentral:lncRNA from 1 species
ACAAUCAUUAAACAAGGUGGUAAUACGAUGCAUAUUACAUUAGAUGGAACAGUUCACAGUAAAAUAAGAUAAUAUCUUGGUACAGACUUGGUAGAUCAUAAGAUAACAAACAUCAUUGCAAUUAGUAGAUAUUUAAUUAAGAUCCCUCUUGAUCGAACUCAUCACUUACCAGUGCUACCCUGGACAGUGUUUUUGGGGCAGUCGGCAGGCCAGUGAUCAAAAAACACGCCACAGACAUCACAUCACAUCCAAAGAACAAUAUGUUUUUCUGGUUCAGGGAAGUCCCUAACAUCAUCUUCACCAGGAGGUGCUGAGCAUCACCCAGAACAAACAACAAGGUUAAGACAUAGAGGAAAAGUUAAAAAUCCUAAUAACCAAAUCGAAUGAAUAAGAAACACAAAGGCCAACCGCCUCCUUAGCAAUUAAUCUAGUGGAUCAAUCAAGUCACAAACUUAAUUUGAAAUAAAAUUAACAAAAAGAAAAUUCAAAUCAGGAGGAGAAUAUAUACCUUCGAGAGUACACAGGAGAGCCACGUCCAUCGGCUCCAUCGGCUCGUCAUCAGUGACCUUUAGAUCCUCGCGAGUAAGAUGCAGUCUGUCUAACACAUCAUCUGGUAUUUCGUCUUUUAGGGAUUCUGGUAAGUAUUUUAAUAAUUCUGGCAUCUCUUCGAAAUUAAUCAUCUUCGACUCCUCGCCCUGCUUCAACUUCUUCGCAUCUGGCUCCUCCUCGCCCGUUGGUGGAUCCGGCUGCCUCUUGCCUGAGGGAGGGAUCGGUGCGGAUGCGGAUGCGGAUGCGGCUGUGUCCGUCAUGGCUGGCUUCGCUUAGGGUUUGGCGUCUCCUUUGAUUUGAUUGUUUAUUUCGAGCAUGGGUUCGCGUUUACCAUCAGGACUUGGGCUUUGGGCCUGGGUAUUUUCUUCUUGUUCCGUCUUUUCUUUUCCUUCUAUAAGAUAAGGCUUCGUCCGUUUGUAGGAGACGUCUGGUGUUUGUAGACAGGUGUCAGCAGGCGGGCAUGACACGGGUUGACAGCGUCUAUAUGUCGUUAACUAGAGAGAUGGUAAAUACGGGGAUGUAUUUGGGGGUCUGGGUUAGUUUGUUGAGGUAGAUACGGGGAUGUAUUCAGAGGGUGAAUGGAGACCAGGGUCAAAUGAGAGUCGUGGGGUUAACUUUAUCAGUGUUUAGUAUUGGGUUUCGUUUGGAAUUAGGAUUAGUGGGGUGUUUUGUAUGUUGAGGUUUUACUCUCCUAGUUUCAAAUUUACUAAUUCAGAAGUGUGGAAUUGAGUGGCAAAUUGAUAUUGGGUUAAUGAGGAAAUGUGGAUACAGUUGUUGUUCAUUAGCUACAAAAUGGGUCAAGACUGGCAAUGUUUCAAUGUCGCUCGAAACCAUUGAUAGUAUUGGUGAGACCAGACAUUCAUGGUGCCGAGGGGCACCAAUAUAAAAGUAUGAACUCUUUAAUUAUACUGGAGUGGUUAUAGCUUUUACAUUAAAAAAUUUGUCCUCUUUCUCUUCAGCAUAGGGUUUGUUCAAUUGAUAUUGCUAACAUGGGUUUGACCUCUUUUUUCUAACAAUCUAAAUGUAAUAGUAUUAAGUGAUGGAGAUGGUUUUGGGUGCUUGUGUAGCGUGAUUUCUGUUGGACAUGCUUGGCUACUGAUAUGUAAGAUAUGUGAUAGGCAAGGCAACUUUUCUUUAUUGCUGUGAUUCUAAUUUAGCAUGUUAUUAGUGUGUUUGUGGAAGUUUUCUCUGUGAUUGUUUUAAAUGUGUGUUGAUGUAAAUAGUUGGCUCAUCAACUUGAUAUUCUACUGAACUUCAUCGAUAUGAUGCUCCUUUGGGUUCUAAAUGCCUUCUUAUGAUAUUGUUAUGAAUUUGUAGUUACCAACUUGUUCAUAGUAACAAGUAUCCUUGUUUGGAUGUCUUGAUCAUGAAUAUAAACUAGCCUUUGAGUAUCUUAUUCGGAAAUCAUUGAAAUAUGCACAGCAGACCUUGUCUAUUUAUAUUGUUUAAAUUCCUUCUUCUCAAGUUAAGUUGCAGUCAUGACUCCUUCGAAUUUGGUACUUAUCAGUAUUGUUGUAUUCAAAGUCUGAGCUAUGUCUACCUUGUUCUGUAGUAGCACUUUGUAAUUUCUGAGGAAGCUUUACAUGGCUGCAUUUGAGUCUAUUUCCUAUCAAAUUAUUGUUGUUCGUUUGUAUUCAGAAUUCAUUCGUUCAAAGCUCUUCAUGCUAGUCUUCAUGCUAGUGUCCUUAUUAAGCUCUAAUUCUUAUCAAAUUCUUUGUUGUUCGGUUGUGUUCCUAAAUCCCAACCCACCAGUACAUAUAUAACAUUGUUGCUGAACCAAAACUGAAAUAUGAAGAUUUCAGGAACACUCUUAAAAUUAUGGCCACAGUCUAGUUUCAUUGUUAUUAUCUUGUUCCCUUCUAGCAAAGCUUGUGCAGCGUGUUAAGUUCCUGCUUCUUGUUCUCUUCCCAUCUUUCCAAUGAUCCUAUCAUCAAGUUUUAUCUCAGAAAUGAUUCCUUGAAUUCACAUGAUUGUUGGUCAUUGCCUUAUUAAACGUUAAAAACACUCCAACUGGUAGUAUUCCUUAAAACAAAUCCUAUUGUGAACUAGUCUUGCUGCAAAUUACUUUGGAGUUUGAACAGAUAUCCAUGUCCAUUAUCAGUUUACUAAGUAUACACCAGGUCCCUUCACAUAUGCCUAUAUUUGGGGAAAGUUUCAAAUACUAAAAAGAAAACAGAUUGUUCCCUGUUUUUUCUUACUAAGCUUAGGUUGCUGCGAUGAGCAAAUCACAUAUGUAUAUUUGCAUUGUUUGUUCAGUUGUUAAAUGAAGUUCUGAUUUCCUCAUCAAGUCUGGGGUCAAAACUGAAUUUAAUCAAUUGUUUUUUUUUUAUAGGAAACAGAGGUCCAUUCUUUUGCAACCUUACUUCUGAUUUUGUGUUUGUCUCGUACUGUACCCCUUUUGAGAUUUCCAGACCUAUACGUAUACCCCUGUUUGUUCUCCUUUUAAGUUUCCUGUUUACUAUCAGUUUGGUGGUUCUUUACUUCUCAUGCUUACAUGUUUCCUCAUUAAAGUAUAUCUGAGCCAAAGCUAUGUUGCCUGCUGCUUUAAAGUCUCAAGCUCGAGUUGAGAACAAACAUGAGUUUGUUCAUAAAGCAUGAGUUGUUAAAGUUGUGUUUCUUGACAAACACAAAAAGAAAUUUACCUUUCAAGGUUUACUUCAUGGCAAAACUUCUCUAUAAGAAAGAGUAUUUCAGUCUCUUGAAAUCCCUUAAUGAUUGUUUUGGUUUCAGUCUCUUGAAAUCCCUUAAUGAUUGUUUUGGCUUAAAGAAGCCAAAAGGUUUACAAAAAGGACAUGUUUGGUUUUGAACGGUAUUAUUUGAUUAGGCCCGGGAUAAGUUAAGUAGGGGAUUGUGCCUCCCUGGGGUGAAUAGACCAACAGUUUUGUAAUGAUCAGGAUUCCGCUUAGUACGGGGUGUCCUCGUUGGCUUUAAUACAAGGGUUUUCCGCUUGUACGGGUUGUGCUCAUUGGCCUUAAUACGAGCAAUGGGCUCCAACUGGAAAAGGAAGGAUUUCAAGGAUUUCGUUGGAAAAGAAGAAUAAGGGUUUCUGAACGUUGAACAAAGUGUUUGAAAGAAAAAGAAGACUCUCUGGUCUUAUUGCAAUUGUUGGAUUUGCGUUGGGUUUAAUUUUCUAAUGUCACAAGUGUGACUCAAAAGUGUUGGUCUCAGUUUGUUGUUCCUUUUACAUGUUCAGUUGUUUAUUUAAGUGUCCCAAGCUAAAUGUCGUAUUUGUUGAAAGCUGAGUAACCUUAUAUCAAUUGACUCAUUGAUUCCAUUCUCAUAAUUCUCAGCAACAACCUUCAUAAUUUAAUUCUAUUUCAUUCCGUUUACUACUGAUAUUCUUUCACAUUACUCCAAUUGCAUUCUAAAUUUGAAUCAUAGUACUAUUGAUUAUCUUCUGUACCUACUGAGCUUGUGAAGCUCACUUCCCUAUGUUUCAUUUGUUCUCAAGAAAGAAGUGUGGUGAUGUUUCUGAUAUUCCAGAGUUGACUUAAAUCAGAGUUCAUUACCCAGUUAUGCUUGCUUGUGGACUGAGUGCCUCACUUUUGCUUUAUUGAGUAUGUGCUGCUGCCUUCAUUAGAUUGUGCUCAGUACGUAUUUGUUUGGAAUGGUGGCAUUUUGUUAAUAUAGUGGUAUGAAGUAGAAAGUCCNNNNNNNNNNNNNNNNNNNNNNNNNNNNNNNNNNNNNNNNNNNNNNNNNNNNNNNNNNNNNNNNNNNNNNNNNNNNNNNNNNNNNNNNNNNNNNNNNNNNNNNNNNNNNNNNNNNNNNNNNNNNNNNNNNNNNNNNNNNNNNNNNNNNNNNNNNNNNNNNNNNNNNNNNNNNNNNNNNNNNNNNNNNNNNNNNNNNNNNNNNNNNNNNNNNNNNNNNNNNNNNNNNNNNNNNNNNNNNNNNNNNNNNNNNNNNNNNNNNNNNNNNNNNNNNNNNNNNNNNNNNNNNNNNNNNNNNNNNNNNNNNNNNNNNNNNNNNNNNNNNNNNNNNNNNNNNNNNNNNNNNNNNNNNNNAAAGUCCACUCUGAUCUGGGUACAUCUGAUGUAAAUUUUGAUACCAUGUGAUGGACAGCUUUGUAAAUAAAAUGCAAUCAGUUGCAUGUGUAUAUAAAGGAUCGUUUUCUUACUCUCUUUUACCUUGCUGGAUUAUGGCAGUCGAAUUUAGAGGGUGGCUUUCGAUUGAGAUUGGUGUAAAAAAGGAUCAACUGAUGUACUUCCUUUGCCUCCAAACCCGCAUCAAGGUAGAUACGAGAAGCACGAAAAAAGAAAGCAAUCACAAAACACAAUCCAUAGCAUUUGCUUGAAUGUAUAAUUCAUUACCUAAUACCAUUUUAAUUGUUGUAUUGUCCUGUCGAUUUCGCAUCAAUGUUAACAAUACAAUGUAGUUACAACUCGGAAGUACAAUAAUAUAUCUGAAAUCUGUGAUCACAACAACAUUAUUUUCAUUAAUAAUCUCAAAACAAUCACAAUGCAAGUGUCAUUGAUCAAAUUACACAUCUCUGCGUUCUCUCAGCUAGUCAACAUGUUUCCCUACCUUGUGUGCUCUUGAUACAAAUCCUAAUAAAUUAUUUACUCUCUAAAGCAGAUCUAAAACUCUUGAUGCUGAGAUACUUAGCCACUUAUCAAAAAGUGACUUGAAGGUGACUAAAACUCUUCAAUUUUGAAGUUGAGCUCUUCCACUUAUAUGUCAAUUUAAAUCUUGUUUCUUUAGCAUUCAUCUAGCUGUAUCUUGCCUGCAUGUUGUGUAAAGAAGAAUGAACUUAAUAGUAAAAGACUCAUAACUGAGCUACAUAAACCGAAUAACCAGUAAAAUAUCAUAGAAUGAGUAUAUCAUUAAAUUACAAUGAAUUGAACAACAAAAAGAGCAAAGCAAUCGAAGUGGUCCAAAUAAAAGGGCAACCAAAGCUAAAUACCUGAACAAUAUGUCGAGUUAGAACAUCAACUAGAUUGUAGGUUUUUCUCUUAGCUAGUUGCCAUUGUCCAGCUGUAGUUGAUCAAACAAAACCCUUCAAACAAUAAAAGUCAGUGUGUGUGUAUAUAUAUAGACACACAAUCGGUUAUCUACACACAGAGACACACCUGAAAAAAAAAAAUGAAGGUAAGAAAGCACAUUUUGCAUACCCAACAAGCCAUAAAUUAUAACCCUCUAGGCUUAACUUCCAAACUGAUAAGACUAGAAUAAUCUGUGCUUUUCAUUUACAAUUAUAUGGUUCUUGUAGUAAACCUUUACAACAGGGUUCCUUAGAGAAAUCAUUGUAUCAUGUCAAGCACUGUGCAACACCCUGACCCUUUGCAAAUGGGACUGUAAAACCCAAGCAACCAAAAACAGUGCCGGAGUCAAUGACGAGGACGUCAAAACGAAACUAUUGAAGUCAGUUAAGCGCCAAGAAUCUGUCGAAAUUGAAAAUCCCCGACAAACCCAGACAAGCACCCGUCUUUGUAAUCUCGCCGUCACUGGCUAUUUGAAGAAGGCGAACCAGACUCCUCUUCACGUCAAUGAGAGGAGACUAAGGAAAUUUUCCCCCACCUCUCUUCAAGUGAGGCCCUAUCUCCCCGCAUGAAAUGGUAAAGAAAAUCAUAGUCUUCCUGCAUAAACCCACGUUAGAAACGUAUGGCUCAAACGGUUAUAGACAAAGCAACUGAACCUCAUUAUAGUUAACAUUACUACGGAUAGACAAUAUCAACACUUGGCUGUACAAUAGUAACUAUAUUAAUUGCAGAAAUACAAUAGUUUACCUGAAGUGAUGCCAAUGAUCAAAUCAUAGAUUGAUGUCCUGAAGACACUCGAUUCUGUUGGCUCAUCCCAUGCCUCCAUAUACCAACUCAUACAUAUGAUUUCCAUAUACAAAUGCUUAAACCAACAAUACCUUGAUAUGACUAAAAUAUAAAUGCAAAUAUUGACUAUAUGACAUGCUUUCAAAUCCAACCUUUCCAACCACUUGGCAAAAGAUAACAAUAUCAUAUAGUCAAUAUUUACUUCUAGAUGGCUAUAGAAUAGAAUUCUGCAAUAUGCUAAAUUAUUGAAAUUACUCUUUAUCUAAAUGAACCCAGAUUUUAAUCUACACAUAUAUGAAUCUCAUUGUAAGAUGUAUUAGUAAGUAAAUGUUACCUCUUCUGAUCAUACCAUAGAAGUACUUGCUCAUCUGUCACCUCAUGUUCUGGUCUCUUCUGCUCCUUCACUCUCUUUUCUUCUAAAGAUUAAUUACAGUAUCCGGUAAUAACAGAAGAUAAAAAGAUUCCAAUUACAUGAACAUAACUAAGAAUUUCUCAGGAAAAAUUUAUAAUUUACAACAAAUCAUUACUAUCCUCUAGCUCCAGUUGUUUCUCAUGUGCAAUUAUAAACCAAUCUAUAAAUAUAUACAUAAUCAGGUUGCCUUUACCUGCUGUCCAGAGAUGUGUCCUCAUAGAUCCAGUAUCUAAGUACUUGUAUACACAUCCAGAAACUUAAACGAUAAUAAGUACUUUAUUCACCUUGCCAACAAAUAAAUUUAUUUAUCGCCAAACAGCGUAAGCAACAGGGUAUGGAUGUUCCCUGAAUUUGAUCCAGGGACAACCAUGAAUGAGGUGAAGGUCAGUCUGCAGACUUCAAAGCCAAGAAAGAGCCAUCAUUUUUAAAUUUAGCCACGAGUUCCUCCAAACCAAGAGAUAUGUCUCUAAACUUUAGAAAAAAAAAAUACAUAUAGGGGGAAUCUAGCAGCCAGUUAUUAUUGAAGUGUGUAGGUUUCUAUACCUCUGGUAACAAUAUAUAGUGCUUACUAUAAUAGAUAAUCUAAAUGAAACAGGCACCUACCUAGUUAAAUUUUAACUCCAUAGGCAACAAAUUGCUUCAUCACAGUAACAACAGCAAUCAAAAAACACAAAGAAGAGCCUUCACAGUUACCCACGCUUGAGAACAAAAUUUCAAAUUGUUGGUGCAAAAAUUUUCGGGAGAGAGAUUUCCCAACAUAAAUCUCACUCCGUUGAUCUUCGAGAAGCCUUGGACACAUCCAUACGACAAUCUAUCAAGGGAAAGAGGUACCGUUGUUAUUACUCAUGAUUGUUCCUCCUUCUUCAUCCCCCUGUUCUUCUCCAUAAGCGUGCGAAUUUAUAGACUUUUGAUUCCUUGGUCCUCACUUCCCGUCGUAGUGGGAGUCGUGGAAGGAGUUGUGUUUUCACGUUCUUCAUAAUCUUCUCGUGCUUCACGUUGUUUUUUCUUAUCUACUUGUUAGUUAAUAUGGACUUCGAUCAUCGGGCCUAAUUCAUAUAGUAGUGGCCCAAGCCAAAAUUUUAUACGCCCACAAUGCCCCCUUUUUCCUUUCCGUACGAGAUCCGAGUGCGGGAAGGAAAAACACAUAAAAAGCAAUCACUAGUAUAUGAGGAUAAAUAGGAACUACGACAUGCUUUUGCUAACUCUUAGAAAAUGAUUAGAAUAUCAUAUAAUAUUUCGUGAAUUUUGAAUCAUUUAACGUCCGGGGACUAAUAUCUCAUGAAUUUUGAAUCAUUUAACGUUCGGGGACGGAUAUCUAUUGAAUUUCGAAUCAUUUAACGUCCGGGGACAAAUAUCUCAUGAAUUUCGAAUCAUUUAACGUCCGUCUCUUGGACUGCGAUUUCAUUUACUGUCUAUUGGACUGCGAUAUCAAUUACUGUCUCUUGGACUGCGAUUUCAUUUACUGACUGCGAUUUCAUUUACUGUCUCUUGGACUGCGAUAUCAUUUACUGUCUCUUAGACUGCGAUUCAUUUACUGUCUCUUGGACUGCGUAUCUUUUAAUGUCCGAGGACGAAUCAUUUAAUGCCUCCGAGGAGGUCUUUCAAUCGAAGUUCAUAACCUCCCCAUCUCUAGAUUAGCUCCAAGUUGCCUAGGCCCCGAUCAAUCCUCUCCUUAACAAACUUCCUUUUACCUGCGUCCACAUCGCUUAUAGCAACCUCUGCAACUUCCUCAAUCAGUAGCUUCCGACGCGAUACAUUAACUUUUCUACUCCCAGCAGAUCUCCCACCUAACUGAUCGUACUUGGUUUCACUCAAGCUCCGAGGUACUACAGCUGCAGAGAACUGUCCAUGGUUUCCAAACACAUCAAGAUUACUGCUAGAUGCCGAAUCAAAUACAUGUUUGAAAAUCAUCCCCAAAGACCUCGCAGUACCCCUAUCAGGCACAUCUGACAGUGCCGCCAGUUUCUGCUCCUGCUUCUCAUUUAUCACCAGCUCCUGCUUCUCAUUUAACAUCCCCACCGAAUCCCCAGGAACCUCCUCCACCUUAUUCUGUUUCAGCCCAAAAGUACCAAUGUUAUCUAGACUCCCACAUAAGUCAACCACACCACCCCUACUUCCAGCAUCUUGGAGUUGAGAAUUACAAGACUGAACGUACUCUUCCAAACUGGGAGAUGUUACAAGUUAGAGUUCAUGCUCUCUGCAGCUCAUUAUAUUGGGACAGAGAAGCUAGGGGAUAAAUCAUCCUCCACUUGGACCAAGAAGGAUCAAAAGGAAUGGUAUAAAAUUAUGAAGGAAUUUAAGAUGGUACACUGGAAGGUGGUGUCACUGACAAACUCACUUACUCCCCACAAGAAUACAUUUAAUGGUCAGUGAAGUCUGAUUAUGUUGCUGCAGGUCUAUAUUAUGGGGUCAACAUAUCCUGUGUUGAUGAGGUUGUGCCUGUCUUCACAAGUCGUAAACCUGCAUUUCAAUUCUAGUUUAAGUAACGGUUGUAUUCUCAUUUCGGAUUAUCAAUGAAGAAUAUGAAUCUUUAACUUCAUUUCCUCUCAGUUUGUGCAAUUUAUCUCUUCAAUUUCCUUCCAUGGAUUACGCUCCUAACAGGAACUUAAUAUAAGAGCUUAUAUAUGUCUUUUAAGAGCUAAAUGUUAUAGUAUGGUAGUAGUUUGUCACCAAAAUAGAGGUGGCACAAGGUUAAUGACAGAAUAAAGUUGGGUGGAAGAACAAAAUUUGCAAUAUAUGAAUAUAUCGGAAGUAGUUCACUGUUAAAAAAGACGUAUGCAAGAGAAUAAACUCGCAUCAAAGUAAACUAUGGUAGGUCACAUAAUUUAGCCAAGACACCCCAGAUUAAGAGCUGACAGAAGAUCAGAGUUCCUAGCAGCUGAAUAGUAGGAUAGGAGUGAUUCCCCAACUUUCUGUUCCUCUUGCACAUACAAAAUCCUUGAACAAUGACUCAGUGAAGCGUUUCCACCAGUUUAACCUCAACAGUCAAAAACUUGGUCAAGAAUAGCGCACAAACUUCUGCACUUGGACCGACAAGAGCCACCUUUGUUCCACCUUUGUUCCUGCAAUUUUGCUUCUGGAUGAAGCAACAAGUGCCCUUGAUGCUGAAUCUGAGAAAUCUGUGGUGAGUGCAUUGGAAGCGAUAAAUUUAAAAAAGAAUGGGGCCUGCUGUCAAAAACGACAUAGAUCACUGUUGCACAUAGGCUCUCUACAAUAAUAAACUCGGAUAAAAUUGUUGUCAUGGAUAAAGGUGAGAUUGUGGAGAUAGGUUCCCACUCAACCCUAAUAAGAGCAUCUGAGGGAGUUUAUUCAAGAUUAUAUCAUAUACAGAGCAUGACAGAAGAGUAACAUCACAUACUGUAAUCUUUGAAAUGUGCAAAACAGCAAGGCAACUUAAUAUAAGAGCUUAUAUAUGUCUUUUAGAGCUACAAGUAACUCAAUUUCAUUGCAAUUAGUAAGCUGGCUUUGAUUAUUUCUGAUUGGGUUUUGCACAGCCCCAGGUAAAUGUUCAUGUGACAUCCCUCCCUCUAUUUGAAGUCCACAAACGUCAAAGAACUGCAGAAAUUAUUAGGUGAGUUUACGUUUUGGGCUUUAUGAAUGAUUUUCCUAUUGACAAUCUGAUUAUGUUGUGGUUACUUUUCAACCGAUAAGCCAACAGUUUCACCUCAUCGUUUUGGAUUGUAUUAAUCUGAACAGUAAUAGCUGCUGGAAAUUGUUAACCAACGUACUGCACUAGUUACUCUUGGUGAUUGUUUAUGAAAAGUCAGCUUCAAUGCUGAAAGAAAGUAGCAAUAUGGGAUGUUAUACGAUGCUUAGCAAAGAAAGAUGGGAUGUUAUACACUUGGACGUCCAACUCUAGGAGUCAUUUGCCUUGAGCUAGCUGUUCCCUUAAUACAGAUGUAUUGCCUUUUCUUUGCAACACAAGUAGCAAGGGAAAGGCUGCUGUAAACCAUGCAAUAUAUGUUGGAUCCGGAUCCUCUCCUGAGCUUUUUUUUUACCUGAGCUGCCUAAGCUUUUAAGGAGAUUAUGACACGUGGAAACAUCAAUCUAAUGGUCCAGAAGGGUACAACACGACUGAAAUGUUCCUCUCUCUUCUCAAAUCUCAAAGUUGUCUUUCUCCUCACUCACUUAUUCUCUUCCUCUCUUCUCUUCGGAGACUGCAUUUUCAUUUUCAGAUUCCACUUCUCAACUGAGCAUCUCUCUUUCUACCAAUAUAAAUUGGGCAUAUCAUUAUAACUUUGAGAAAACCAAAUCAAAGAAACUCAUCUUCGUGGGUUUAAAUCAAACACCCAGUUCAUCAUUCUCAUUGAUUCAAAGAAACAAAUAAAAUUUGAAGACAUACACCCAGUGGCGGAAGCAUUCUUGUGGCUAUCAGGGCUAUAGCCAUACCCAGAAUUAGCUGAAUCAACAGCUGAUGCAUGUAUAUUAGCCUAUAGAAGUAUUAGCCAUACCCAAAUUAGCCCACUAAAUAACAAAUAGCCCACAGGCUACAGCCCAAAUUAACCCACUAAAUAUCAAAUAGCCCACAACCCAAAUUAGCCCAUUUCUCAAUUCCUCAAAAGUCUCAAACCAAACUGCAGUCUAUCAUUCAUUUUUCAUCAUCACGCUCUGUCGCUCUCCUCCUCCUGCUUUCUCUCCUUCUCCUCCUCUCCUCCGUUGUCGCCUCCACCGUAACCGACGUCGGCGAUGCGCUGACCAGACAAGUCGUAUCAGGCGCUGCCGAGGAGGACGAGCUCCUCCACACGGACUCGCGGAGCGUCACUUGACUCACUUCUCGAACUUUAAAGCGACGUUCUCCGAUCUCAGUCCUAAGGAGUUUUGCCGGAAUUUCCUCGGGCUUAAGAAGAAGCGUCGUCUGCGUCGACUCCGGCUACCGGCAAACGCUAACAAGGCUCCGAUCCUUCCGACGAAUGAUCUUCCCACCGAGUUUGACUGGCGCGAGAAAUCUGCAGGUAUGAUCUUGUGUCCAUACAAAAUUAGCCAUACCCAUUAUGCAAUCCUGGUUCCGCCACUGCAUACACCACCAUCUCAUCCUCAAUUGCAUAGCUGAAAACCGAUAUGCAGCAGAAGCUUUAACUCAAACCCAUACAAAUUUGAUUAGUAUGAAACUCAAGCAGUCAAACAUCACCUUUACUCUCAAAUUCGCAGGAGAUUUGCUUUCAUAAAUUUGAAUGGGUUUAGAAAGAUUGUGGAAAUGAAAUUGAUUCAAAGUGAUUAUAGUCAAGGUGAUUCAUGAGAGAAUUUUGACUUAUAGUAGAAGAGAUUCAUAUGGAAGUGAUGAAGAGUAGAAGGAAAAGAAGAGGGAAGGGAGAGAAAUGCGAAAGUGAGAAAGGAAGGAAAGAGGCAACGAACUAAGGAAGAGAGAGAGAGAGAGAGAAAAGAAACAUAGAUGAAGAAGAAUUAUAGACCAUUAGAUCUCAAAUAAGCCACGUGUCUUCAUCUCCUCAGAAGCUCAGGAAGCUCAGGCAAAAAAUUAGCUCAGGAGAGGAUCCGAAUCCAUAUAUGUUGGCAACAUCACAAAGGGACUGACAAGUACAGGUAACUUGGUAUGUAAUAUAUCAAACAUUACAGUUUGCCGGCUUUUGAAAAUAUGCUAGUUUCAAACAUAAUCCAGGUAAAGUCGAUCAGAAAAACAAUCAUUAAACAAGAUGAUAAUACGAUGCAUAUUACACUACAUGGAGAAGUUCACAGUAUACGUAGCACGAUAAUAUCUAGGUUUGGAAUGUCAGACUUGGUAGAUCAUAAAAAAUAAAAAUAAAAAUAAUGAAAAAAACCUUGGUAGAUCAUAAGAUUAACAAACAAACAUCAUUGCAAUUAGUAGAUAUUAAAAUUCCUCUUGAUCGAACUCAUCAUCAUCACUCACCAGUACUACCCUGGACCUUUUUUUUGGGGCACUCGUCAGGCCAGUGAUCUAGAGCCACACCACAGACAAAACAAGACUUCUUAACAAUAAAAUCUUUUUGAUCACUCCAAGGAUGGUAAGAAG